UACGUAGGCAGCGAGCGUUGUUCGGAGUUACUGGGCGUAAAGGGUGUGUAGGCGGUCCCUUAAGUUUGGUGUGAAAUCUCCCGGCUCAACUGGGAGGGUGCGCCGGAUACUGAGGGGCUAGAGUGCGGGAGGGGAAAGUGGAAUUCCAGGUGUAGCGGUGAAAUGCGUAGAUAUCUGGAGGAACACCGGUGGCGAAGGCGGCAUCCUGGACCGACACUGACGCUGAGGAGCGAAAGCCAGGGGAGCAAACGGG
rnacentral:rRNA from 1 species